GGGUGCUGCACGGCUGCGUCAGCUCGUGUCGUGAGAUGUUGGGUAAGUCCCGCAACGAGCGCAACCUCGUGUUUAGUUGCUAACAGUUCGGCUGAGAACUCUAAACAGACUGCCUACGCAAGUAGGAGGAAGGUGAGGACGACGUCAAGUCAUCAUGGCCCUUACGGCCAGGGCUACACACGUGCUACAAUGGGGUAUACAAAGAGCAGCGAUACGGUGACGUGGAGCAAAUCUAGAAAAUGCCUCUCAGUUCGGAUUGUAGUCUGCAACUCGACUACAUGAAGUUGGAAUCGCUAGUAAUCGUAGAUCAGCAAUGCUACGGUGAAUACGUUCCCGGGCCUU
rnacentral:rRNA from 1 species